GGAAUAUUGGACAAUGGGUGAAAGCCUGAUCCAGCCAUCCCGCGUGAAGGAUGACGGUCCUAUGGAUUGUAAACUUCUUUUGUAUAGGGAUAAACCUAGAUACGUGUAUCUAGCUGAAGGUACUAUACGAAUAAGCACCGGCUAACUCCGUGCCAGCAGCCGCGGUAAUACGGAGGGUGCAAGCGUUAUCCGGAUUUAUUGGGUUUAAAGGGUCCGUAGGCGGACCGAUAAGUCAGUGGUGAAAUCUCAUAGCUUAACUAUGAAACUGCCAUUGAUACUGUCGGUCUUGAGUAAAUUAGAGGUAGCUGGAAUAAGUAGUGUAGCGGUGAAAUGCAUAGAUAUUACUUAGAACACCAAUUGCGAAGGCAGGUUACCAUGAUUUAACUGACGCUGAGGGACGAAAGCGUGGGUAGCGAACAGGAUUAGAUACCCCAG
rnacentral:rRNA from 1 species